GCUUAGGUUUAGGCUUAGGCUUAGGCUAAGGCUUAGGCUAAGGCUUAGGCUUAGACUAAGGUUUUUGCUUAGGCUUAGGCUUUGUUUUUGGCUUAGGCUUAAGAUUUGGCUUAGGCUUAGGCUUAGACUUAAAGCUAGGCUCA
ensembl:ncRNA Y75B8A.50 ncRNA